rnacentral:rRNA from 1 species
CUGACACAGGGAGGUAGUGACAAUAAAUAACAAUGACGGGCCUUUUUAGGUCUGUCACUUGGAAUGAGAACAAUUUAAACCCAUUAACGAGGACCAAUUGGAGGGCAAGUCUGGUGCCAGCAGCCGCGGUAAUUCCAGCUCCAAUAGCGUACAUUAAAGUUGUUGCAGUUAAAAAGCUCGUAGUUGGAUUUCUGGUGUCGCAGUGCUUCCGCGUGUUUAAUUACAUGUCGAGUUGUGUUUGCGUCGCCAUCUUUUAGCAGCACCUUCCUGGCAUUAGGUUGUUGGGUUGGUAAUGCUAAUCGUUUACUGUGAAGAAAUUAGAGUGUUCAAAGCAGGCUUUAUGCCGU